AUGGGCGGGCGGCCCAGCAGCUCGGCCGGCACGAGGAAGCGCUCCGUCUCCUCCCCCUCCGCGCCCACCUCCACCGGCACGUGCCCCGCCGGCACCUUCCCCGACGCCGCCGACGGCGAGAUCGCCAUCUCCGCCACGGCCCCCGGCGCCACCCUGCACGCCCCCGUCGACACGCACCGCAGCAGCCCCCCCUUCUUCAUCGCCUCCUCUUCCGCUCCCCUCACGCGGCUCGGUCGAAGGUGUGGCGUGCGGAGGAGGAUGGGAUGGAGAUACCGAGGCGAGGCGAGGUCGGCCGCGCGCAGUGAAUGA
rnacentral:rRNA from 1 species